GCCUGAGUGGUGGAAUUGGUAGACACGAGGGACUUAAAAUCCCUUGCCCUUUAAAGGCGUGCCGGUUCGAGCCCGGCCUCGGGUA
rfam:Bacterium P201 scaffold_0, whole genome shotgun sequence.